ACCACCAUCUAAAAAAACUGCUCAUAAAAAAAGACAAGGAGAAGCCGAUUGUAUCAUUCUGUGGUCACCGACGAUUGGAUCUUAGCUUAUUUUCCUCCAUUUUUUCUGGCAAAGAAGAAGGUUUGGUUAACUUUCACUUGUUUCAUAUUACCAUCUCCAUCUUUAUAGCAUUUUUCAUUUUCUUUUUACUGUUUUGAUACAGAAAUUAGAUCAUGUUUGUUUUCUUUAGGCCAUCUUCCAUUUUUUCCGACCAUUCUUCCAAUUUUCCACCAAUCAAGAGUUAUGGGAAAGGUUCCUAUUACAAUAUUGUAUGAUGGACUUUGGAAUGACAACAAAAAAAAUCAUGGGUUAUAGGUUGACAGCCAUGUUGCUUAAUGACGAUGCCACAUGUUUAGAUGCUUUAGAACUGUUGUAUAAAGAGUUACCUUGGAGAGAAUGAAAAUAAUAUUUUAGAGGUUAUGGGUGAUAGUGGUAUGAGUUGGUACCUAUAUAUGGCCAAAUCUGAUAAAGAAAUGAAAUACUCACUCAUUGUAAGUUUUGAGGAGCGUCCAAUGGCUGAACUAAUUCAAAAGUCCAUUGAGAAUAAUCGUUUGUUGUUGGAGUCUGUUGUUGAUCACUCCUCUAUGAUGGAAUCGGAUUUGUCUUUAAAUUUUGGCACAAACUUUGAAGUAGGUUCAUCGUUUU